rnacentral:rRNA from 1 species
GACGAACGCUGGCGGCGUGCUUAACACAUGCAAGUCGAACGGAAAGGCCCUGCUUUUGUGGGGUGCUCGAGUGGCGAACGGGUGAGUAACACGUGAGUAACCUGCCCUUGACUUUGGGAUAACUUCAGGAAACUGGGGCUAAUACCGGAUAGGAGCUCCUGCUGCAUGGUGGGGGUUGGAAAGUUUCGGCGGUUGGGGAUGGACUCGCGGCUUAUCAGCUGGUUGGUGGGGUAGUGGCUUACCAAGGCUUUGACGGGUAGCCGGCCUGAGAGGGUGACCGGCCACAUUGGGACUGAGAUACGGCCCAGACUCCUACGGGAGGCAGCAGUGGGGAAUAUUGCACAAUGGGCGGAAGCCUGAUGCAGCAACGCCGCGUGCGGGAUGACGGCCUUCGGGUUGUAAACCGCUUUCGCCUGUGACGAAGCGUGAGUGACGGUAAUGGGUAAAGAAGCACCGGCUAACUACGUGCCAGCAGCCGCGGUAAAAC